AGAUGUAGGGCUGAUGGGCAGUGAUGAACCGUGAAAAGCACCACCGGUGCUCAAUCCGGUCGAAGAAGAAGAAGUGAGGAACGAACAGGGGCCGCAAAAACUGCUCCUUCUGCCGACAUCAACCACACAAGGAAGGGAAAGAAAGAGAAUUCAGUGGGUGUUUGGGACCUGUUUUUCUCAUCAAAACAAAAAAGGAAAGAGAGAUGGGGGUCGUUGGAGGCAGGAGCGAGCUGUGAGGGUGGCGAUUGGAGGUCUCUUGGCUCCACCAGUUUCCUUUUCUGGUUCGAUCAUUGAAACUCAAAGAACAGGGGACUGAUCGAUGGUGGUACCUCAGCAAGUGGAGGGCUGUUUUGGUUGAUAUUCUACAGGAGAAGAUAGAAGGAAUAACAGAAGGAGGGUGCUGCUGCUUAGCUCACUGGAGAAACCACAAGAAAACCACCUCCAAUGGAGGUGUUCUUGGCUGUGCAUCGAAACAGAAAGAAGGGAGAGAAAGAGUGAGUUUGUGAAUGAUUGUGUGACUUUCCUAUGCGAUCACAACAGAUAUUUAGAAGUUCUUGAGAUAUUGGAAGUAUUUGGAAAUCUCUGAAGGAUUGUGGAGGUACAACACUAAAUUGCCCAUGUGUGAGAGCGUGUAUGUGCAACAGUGCAAGACUUGGGAGACUGAAGAUUGCUAGUAAAGUUUGUGCAUUAAUACAUACAUGGGUAUUUAUAUAAAUUAAAUGCAUUUAAUCAUAGAUGUAUUUUAAUAUUUAAAAUACACAACCAAAAUACAUUUGGUUUUUAUAUAUAAAAAGUAUAUAUAUAACAUUCACGUAUUUUUAUUUUGGUUUUAUAAAAAUACAAGGUGUAUACAUAUUAGGUAUUUAUAAAAUUUUGUCACAAUCGUUUGUACAAACACAAGUUCUAUAAUAGUGUUAUUAUUUUC